rnacentral:rRNA from 1 species
ACUCAAAUGAAUUGACGGGGACCCGCACAAGCGGUGGAGCGUGUUGUUUAAUUCGAUACUAAACGAAGAACCUUAUCCAAGGCUUGACAUCCUAGGAAUUUUUUCGAAAGAAAAAAGUGCCUUCGGGAAUCUAGUGACAGGUGUUGCAUGGCCGUCGUCAGCUCGUGUCGUGAGAUAUUUGGUUAAGUCCAUCAACGAGCGCAACCCUUAUGGUUAGUUGGAUUUUUCUAGCCAGACUGCCCCGGUAACGGGGAGGAAGGAGGGGAUGAAGUCAGGUCCGUAUUACCCUUAUGCCUUGGGCUACAGACACGCUACAAUGGCCGGUACAAAGGGCAGCCAACCCGCGAGGGGGAGCAAAUCCCAUCAAAGCCGGUCUCAGUUCGGAUUGUAGGCUGAAACUCGCCUGCAUGAAGCUGGAAUCGCUAGUAACGGUAGGUCAGCGUACUACCGUGAAUACGUUCCCGGGUCUUGUACACACCGCCCGU